ACGGCCAUAUCGUGUUGAACCACCGUUUCUUGUACGAUCACCGAAGUUAAGCAACGUCGAACCUGGUCCUUACCUGGAUGAAUGACCGCUUGGGAAUACCUGGUGUU